CGCGCUAUUGGAUGAGCCUACGUCGGAUUAGCUAGUUGGUGAGGUAAAGGCUCACCAAGGCGACGAUCCGUAGCUGGUUUGAGAGAACGACCAGCCACACUGGGACUGAGACACGGUCCAGACUCCUACGGGAGGCAGCAGUGGGGAAUAUUGCACAAUGGGGGAAACCCUGAUGCAGCCAUGCCGCGUGUGUGAAGAAGGCCUUCGGGUUGUAAAGCACUUUCAGCGAGGAGGAAAGGUUGAUGCCUAAUACGUAUCAACUGUGACGUUACUCGCAGAAGAAGCACCGGCUAACUCCGUGCCAGCAGCCGCGGUAAUACGGAGGGUGCAAGCGUUAUCCGGAAUUACUGGGCGUAAAGCGCACGCAGGCGGUUGGAUAAGUUAGAUGUGAAAGCCCCGGGCUCAACCUGGGAAUUGCAUUUAAAACUGUCCAGCUAGAGUCUUGUAGAGGGGGGUAGAAUUCCAGGUGUAGCGGUGAAAUGCGUAGAGAUCUGGAGGAAUACCGGUGGCGAAGGCGGCCCCCUGGACAAAGACUGACGCUCAGGUGCGAAAGCGUGGGGAGCAAACAGGAUUAGAU
rnacentral:rRNA from 1 species